rnacentral:lncRNA from 1 species
GCGGAGGGCGGGAUUUAGCGGAGUUGUAGUAGCUGUGAGAAGUUUCGCUUAAGCGGGGUGUGUGAGGGAAAUUUUGCUUAAGUUAUUCAGGGAUAUAUUGCACAUCUCUCUAUAUAUAUUUAUUACCUUCUCUGCCAAGUUUUGGAAGGGGAACUCCAAGCCUGCACCCCUCAGACCUCAAUAUGCCCCAUUACUUUGGAUAAAGGGAGGAAGGAACUAAUCGCUUCAUAAACUUUUUAAGUAGCUUGAGGAGAAAAUAUGUUUCCUUUCAAUAUUUACAUGUUUCGUUUUUUAAACCUUUUCCUUUUACAAAGCACAACCAGUACUAAAAGAUAUUAAAAGAGGCUUGUGAACAAAUAUUUUAAAAUUAUUGAAAGAGCAUGGGGGUGACAGUUGAACAUUCUGCCAAAAAGUGUUUCCUUAGAGUUUUAGUUUACAAAGCUUGUGGCUCAAGCAGCAUGUCACUAAUCCAGCCCCCCCCCCCCCGCAAUAAUAAGAGGUUAAAUUGGCAAAGGAAAAAUUGAAGGGACAGUUCUAAAAAGGAGAAGCCCAAAUUGGAUCUGACCGUCCUCUCAAGAUGGUCUUGGAAAUCCAAAAACAUUUCUUGGAAUGUGAAAGAGAAAUUGAAAGAAUAUAAUCAAAUGCUAACAAAGGUUAAAAGGAACAUGACCAGUUAAAAUCAGAUUUAACCAGCAGAUCCAAUGCCCCAGGCAUCAAAAAAAGCUGUUCUUAAAAAAGUUACAGGCUAGUAAAACUGGUGUUUAUUACACAAAAGUGUAGCAGAUCCAAUUAAUCUUUAAUUCCUAAAAUGUAGCAUUUAGUCAUGCUUAGAAGUUCUGAUUUCCUUUGAAGCAUACAUUUAUGUAAAAACUCAGUGUUUUCAAAUAAACAGAAAUACCAAUUUGUGUGGCACACACGUACUUUAAUUCACCACACUCACACUCCUUUACAACUGCUUUACUUUGGGAGUAGCCCUUUUCCUAAGAGAAAUGCUGCUCAAUGACAUCCUUUACAUUGAAAAAACUUCCAACCUUGUCCACGAAUAUGAUGCUUUGUCUUAUUUUUCCAGCUGCGUGCACACCGUACAUUUAAAGCACACACACACACACACACACACACACACACAAAAAUCAUGGGAACUUUUGUUUGUUAAGAUUACUGGGAAUUGCAGCUCUGAGGUAUAAACUACAGUUCCCAGGAUUCGGGGGGGUGGAGGGGAGAGUGUGCUUAAAACUUUUGGUGCAUACGCAGAAGAGUCAACCUUAGCUGGUCUCAGCUGGGUCAGUCUGCAUCUCAAUUGCUGCUUUGUUAGUUUUCUCUCGGGCGUCAAAUGCAUUCUGCAAAUGUCAGAGAAGUUUUUGCCCUGCUACGGGGCUUACGGCCAGUGGUGCUUGCGAUCCAAGGCACGUUCCAGAAAUAGUAUCCUUCUCAAGUACUCUCUUCUCUGCCAGACUGCUUUUAACCUUUGGCUCCCUGACCUGAAUUCGGCCAUAAGCAUAGCACAGUGUUCCUGAAGGUACGCUGAAGGAAAUAACAAUAGGGUUUGCGUGUUUUGAGCCACACACACCCAAGAUCACAUCUUCGAAUUCUGUGUUAAUUAAUCUAGAUCUGCCAUCACCCAACUGGGGCCCUCCGGAUGUUUUGGACUAUAACUUCCAUCAGCCUCAACCAGCAUGUAGUCCAAAAUGUCAGGAUGGCAUCGGGUUGCUGAAGCCUGAUCUAGAACACUGUUUUCUUUAAACUAUAUUGUGGGAAGUCCUGGGGUUUCUUAGAAACAUAUCAGGGGCUACUGAGUGUGAAGAUUGAUCAUGGCUGACAAGCUUCCCUGAAAUACACUGCUUGGUCAUCCCACUACCAUACUUCCGUUGCAAGGCAUCAUCAUCACACAGGACUGUUGAGCAUGUACUAAAUUCAGCUGCACUCUCCGUUCACAAUGGUGAGGCCCCCAGGCUUGUGCAGGGUGAGGGCAGCUGGGUACACUUGCCCCAGGCCUCGGAGGACUCAGCUAGCUGUAUGGUAGGGACCUGUCAGGGACCGCCUGCUUUUUUGUUUGCAUUUAUAACUUAAUUCUAACAAGACUCCUGCCCCGGGCCCUAGAAGCCCUCAGUUCCAUUUGAAUUGACUUAUAUGCUUCCAUCUUUUGCAGAGCAAAGCUGUCCCACGACAGCUAGCAGGCAAGUCACUGCGGUAAGGGUUCCCUUGAGAUAUAAUUUAAAAGCAAACAUCCAAGUGGUUAGGAAUUGUUGGAUUUAUAGGGAGUUGGGCUGGAUGAUCUCUUGGGGACUCUCCAACUCUGCAGUUAUGUGCUUCUAUUGCAUUGCUAGCUCCGCAGUUCUCACUUCUGUGUUUCCAUUGUCUUGCUUAGAAACAAACUCAGUGCCUCCUUAUGCAGCAGAAUCACUGACUAAAAUGUAAGCAACCAUACCCAAAACAGGAUUUCAGGUCAGAUUGGAAAAGGAACUUUAUUUUUAUUCCAUAACAAAUAGGAAGAAAUUGAUAAUACAGGCUUGGGUUUCAACUGACUGGUCUUUUAUUUAUUUUUAUUUAUUUAUUUAUUGGAUAUAUAGCCUACCGUUCCUGCCAAAUAAGUCCAAGGCAGCAAAUGACAAGUGAGAAAAAAGUAAGAGCAAUUCGAAUACCGCCGCAGAUGGGGACAUUUCUCAACUUUCUUGUUGAAAGUGGAAAAUUUUCAGUAGGUACCAAACAGACAACAGAAGACAGCACCUGUCUAUUAUCCAGGGAGAGAAAAUUCCACAUGGUGGGUGCCGCAACACUAAAGCCCCACUUUAUGCAUUGUAUGGAAUCCAGACCUCCUGAUAAGACAGUAUUUGCAGAGGAGUGCAGUGAUCAACUGGGUAUUUAAGGGAUGAGAUGAUCUCUAAAGUAUCCUGGUCCCAAGCUGCAUAGGGCUUUAUUCGCCAAAACCAGCACCUUGAACUUAGCCUUCAACUGCAGGGUAACAUGUUGGCGAUAUUCUGCCCCAAUGAAUCAUCGAGCUGCCACAUUUUGCACCAGCUGCAGGUUCCACACCAACCUCAAGGGCAACCCCACAGAGUACAUUGCAGUAAUCCAGUUAUUAUUAAAUGCAGUUAUGAAAAAAUUACAUGUGGCUGUAGGAAGACAGCUGUUAUUUGCCGUUCGUACUUGACAGAUGUACGGGGCUGGAAAGGCAAAUUUUAUACUUGUCACAAUGCAGAAGGUGAAUAUUCACUCGUUUCUAGAGCUUCUGGUACUUUCUGUUAUUUCCCCCCUUCCACCCAAUCUGGAAUGCCAGAGAGAGAGAGAUCCCAGCUGCUGAAGUGCAUUCUUCUGGCAACUGUUUUUCCUUGUUCUUUUCCUCUGUUAACAAAUACCCUUCUGGUCUGUUUACACAAAAUAUAAAUAUAUAGCCAUAUAAGGUUUCCUGCACACAAUAAACUGCUCCUACUAAAGCCUGCUAAAGGGAUCUGCUCUGCUUGAAGUCAAAUUGUUCUCAAAAAUCUUCCACACAUUGUGGAUAGGAGGGGGUAAGCAAUUCAAAGGACUGAGAAUAUGGUUUUUCUAUUUCAGGACCGGGUGCAAUGAGGGAAAGUUCAUUUUUAAUGGAUUUGCAAAAAAAAAAAAAAGUUCAAACUGGACAUAAUAUUAUAUACAUCUUUCCAUUUACUCUGCAUGCUUUUUCAGAAUCCAAAUAGCAGCUGCAGGGGAGAAGGCUGGUAAUUAUUGAGAUUUCAGCAGGCAGGGAAAUGUAGCUUUAACCCCUGCAAUGGUUUGGAUGAAAAUACUGGAAUGUGCCAAACUGACUUGAAUAAAGAACUGAAAGCAGGGGGUUUAUAUUGUUAGAUUGUGGACACUCAUAAUAUGCAAUGCCUAUUCAACAUCUUCCUUAAAGUUGUCUACACAAGUAAUUAGAUUUAUAUGCAAGAUAGAACGUUUUGGGCCAGUUCCUAUUACAGUAUAAAAGAUGUUCA